AAACAUUCCAUUUCAUCAAACGUCACAGCAGUGUUACUUUUGAAUCUUCUCUGAACAUUCUGAAACAUUUGUAACAUUUAAAAAAAAUGUUAGACAAACAUCUUACUAAAACAAAAAGUAAGAUGUUUGACGAAUGUCUUGUGCUAGCGUUUGAGAACAUGAUUCAGUACCAGGUGAGAAACAUUAGUAAGCAUGUUCUCUGUGAGCGGGGUUCUGCUGUCUAUGUAGAGCACAGCACAGGUUUUGGAGCAGAGCCACAGGUCGGGAGGAUUUUUGGAGCAGGUCCCAGAAGAGGCCUUGAAUGGGAACUGAAGUACUGGAUCUUUGUUGUUUUGGCUGGAACGGUUCUUCUGUGUUUACCUGAGCAGUGACCCGUCGACACACUGAUCUCAGAGCACCUGGGAAGCGUCUUGAGCGGAUCUUGUCAUCCAGGAGCGUCGCGUGUAAGACCUGAGCCAUCUGUGUGCCGCAGGACAUUCACAGCAUCUGCUGGCGCUCAGAACAAACCCAGCAGAGACCCUGAGCACGUGUGAUGUGAUGUUAAAACCACACCAGCUGUUCUCAUUCUGCUGCUGUUUCUCUCGGAGUCUGAAUCGACUCACAAACAGCCACAGAACUGCUUUUCUCUUCAGUUGUUUAUGGUCAUCUGUUUCCAUGAUGAGUAGUUCACCCAAAAAUGAAAAAUGUGCUCGUCCUCAGAUCAUCCAACAUGUAUAUGGGUUUAUUUCUUUAUCAGUUUUGUAGAAAUGUAGCACUGCAUCAGUGUCUCAUCAAAGGAUGCUCUGCAGUGAAUGGGUGCCGUGAGAAUAAGAGUCCAAACAGCUGAUAAAAACAUCACAAUAAUCAUAUCAGUUAACAUCUGGAGAAGACAAAAGCUGAAACAAAUCCAGCAUUAAAUCCGUAAUUUUUAAAGAUAAAAACAUUUAAUGGAUUUGUUUAUUACAAACACAGCUUUUGUCUUCUCCAGAUGUUAACUGAUGGUGUGUGUGAUAAUUGUGAUGUUUUUAUCAGCUGUUUGGACUCUCAUUCUGAUGGCACCCAUUCACUGCAGAGCAUCCAUUGAGGAGACACUGAUGCAGUGCUACAUUUCUACAAACCUGAUGAAGAAACAAACUCAUCUUCAUCUGGGAUGAAACAUAUUUUCAGCACAUUUCAGAACAAAUCUGGCAAUCUUCAUCUACAGCAUUGUGUCUUGCUAUUGCUUUGAUUGUAUUUGUGCACUUUUAUUUAAAAGAGAUUACACAUUUUCUAAGUGUCCCCAUAAUCUUUGUGUAAUGUGUGAAUGUGGUGCAGUUCGAGGUCAGUUCACUGGAUCUUUGUUUUGUCUGAACUUCACAUUCUCCUCCAGUCUGUCGCCAGUGAAAACAGCCGUUUGCUGGAACAACAGUGUGUGAAUUCCUGAGCCGAACACUGAGACUGUUUUCAUGCAGCACUGGACUCUGAUGUUAAACAGCCUGAAAAACAACAUCUCAUCUGAUGAUUCAUACGAAGCAGAGCGUGUGUGUGGAUUCAUCCUGGAGACAACACUAUGUGACAAAUAUAACAAAACAUUUCAUUUGAGGUGCGCUUAAA
rnacentral:lncRNA from 1 species